rnacentral:rRNA from 1 species
AAGUGGGGAUGACGUCAAAUCAGCAGGCCUUAUGGUCCAGGGCUACACACGUGUUACAAUGGUCGGUACAGAGGGCAGCUACCUGGUGACAGGAUGCUAAUCUCGAAAACCGGUCUCAGUUCGGAUCGAAGUCUGCAACUCGACUUCGUGAAGCUGGAUUCGCUAGUAAUCGCGCAUCAGCACGCCGCGGUCGAAUACGUUCCCGGGCCUU